CAGCAGCCGCGGUAAAACGGAGGGUGCAAGCGUUAAUCGGAAUUACUGGGCGUAAAGCGCACGCAGGCGGUCUGUCAAGUCAGAUGUGAAAUCCCCGGGCUUAACCUGGGAACUGCAUUUGAAACUGGCAGGCUAGAGUCUUGUAGAGGGGGGUAGAAUUCCAGGUGUAGCGGUGAAAUGCGUAGAGAUCUGGAGGAAUACCGGUGGCGAAGGCGGCCCCCUGGACAAAGACUGACGCUCAGGUGCGAAAGCGUGGGGAGCAAACAGGAUUAGAUACCCGUGUAGUCCCUGUCUCUUAUAC
rnacentral:rRNA from 1 species